ACGGAGGGUCCAAGCGUUGUCCGGAAUUACUGGGUGUAAAGGGUGCGUAGGCGGGCGUGUAAGUCAGGGGUGAAAUCCACCGGCCUAACCGGUGAACUGCCCUUGAUACUGCACGUCUUGAAUCUCGGAGAGGCUGUCGGAAUUCGUGGUGUAGCGGUGAAAUGCGUAAAUAUCACGAGGAACACCAGAUGCGUAGGCGGACAGCUGGACGAGUAUUGACGCUCAGGCACGAAAGCGUGGGGAGCGAACAGG
rnacentral:rRNA from 1 species